rnacentral:rRNA from 1 species
GAUGAACGCUAGCGGCAGGCUUAACACAUGCAAGUCGAGGGGUAGGGCAGCAAUGCCUGAGACCGGCGCACGGGUGCGUAACGCGUAUGCAAUCUACCUUUUACAGAGGGAUAGCCCAGAGAAAUUUGGAUUAAUACCUCAUAGUAUAAUUGAAUGGCAUCAUUUAAUUAUUAAAGUCACAACGUAAAGAUGAGCAUGCGUCCCAUUAGCUUGNGGUAAGGUAACGGCUUACCAAGG